AGAAGUCAAACACUAGGCAGAAAACAAAACAAAACAGUACCUUUGCAGGACUUUUAUAUGGUUUCAGUUCUCCUUGGUUACUAAUGAAGCCCUCUCCUCUGGAAGCAAACCAAAUUGCACAGCCAAUACUGUCAUCCAAGACUGUAUCCAGUGGAUAGAUUAAGUAAUUAAUACGCUGUUUUCUCAUUUUUUUCAAUUCCUCUAGUGUAACAUUAAUUUCCACAAAGUUCCAGGUUCUUGAAGGGUUAAUGGCUUUUAAUUCCUUCAGUCCUGCCCUACCAGUGAUUCUGUCAGGAACAUCAAAGCAAGAUGAAUGAGUACCAGAGUCAGCAGCAGGAUCUUGACAGCUUUCUUGAGGACAAAGCAAAUCAAGCUGUACUUCAUGGCUGCUGUACUUCCAUGGAAACAAUGUUAAAGACAAAGAUUUAGUUGCUGCACAAGCUUUGAGAUCAAUUUUGAAAAUUCCACAUGCUGGGACUUCUUGCCAUUGGUUGCCUGAUUCAGAACAACCACUUACAGAUGUGAGACAGAGAGCGCCGUUAACCUCACUACUGAAUUGCCAAAGCAAACUACGACGGCCAAAGUAAUCUCUGCCAAACCAUAAACUGUGUCUGGGUGCUUCAUAAUAGAUAAAAGACCAGGGACCCUGAAGUGAUGAGAAGAGUGACAAAAUGUCCAUUUCACUGCUGCAUGAAGCCAGAUGAUGAAAUAUUACUUCAGUGUCAUUCUCUAGAUUUCCUACAGGGACUCCACUGAAAAUUUCUCCAUUCCAAAGAAAAACAUUGUUAUUGGCAUCUUCCAGAGGCUGGGGAGUCACCAGUCCCCUCAAGUGAAGUACGUGGCCUGAAAACAGACAUUGAUAAGAGAGAUCAGACACAGUUUUUAUCAACUGUUGGCUACUGUCUGGUCCUCUUCGUCUUAGAUGGCAGAGGAUGUCUUCACUGAGGAAAUCAUGAAUCACACGCUGGCUGCACAAGGUAACAACACAGCAAAUACCACACAUUGCAACGAGGAAUUCACAUCAACUACUUCUUGAUUUUAGCCUUUUCUGAAUUUUCCAGCUCCUGAUGUGCCUUCUUUAAUUCAUCUAGUGUGUCUGUGUAAGAGAAAAUUACACAAAUAAUCAGUUUCACAAACAGGAAAGUUUAUGCAUAGGUAUGUUUCAGUGUAUAUCCACAACAUUAAUAAUUCCAGCCACUUGUUCAAUUAAAGUGAAAAACAUAAAACACUAAUUAAGCAAA